rnacentral:rRNA from 12 species
CGGUCCUAAAGGCAGCAAGACACCACGGCGGGUCAGUUCCGUCCUGCAGAGCGGAGAGCACCGACUCCCUCACUGUCGCCUC